CCACGAAGGUGGCAAGCGUUGCUCGGAAUUACUGGGCGUAAAGAGCACGUAGGCGGUGAUAUAAGUCGGAAGUGAAAGCCCCCGGCUCAACCGGGGAAUUGCUUUCGAUACUGUAUCACUAGUCGAUCGGCGGGGAGAAUGGAAUGCUCGGUGGAGCGGUGAAAUGCAUAGAUAUCGGGUGGAACGCCGGUGGCGAAGGCGGUUCUCUAGCCGAUUCGAGACGCUGAGGUGCGAAAGCGUGGGGAGCAAACAGGAUUAGAUACCCUAGUAGUCC
rnacentral:rRNA from 1 species